GCCGGGCGUGGUGGCUCACGCCUGUAAUCCCAGCACUUUGGGAGGCCGAGGCUGGUGGAUCACCUGAGGUCAGGAGUUCGAGACCAGCCUGGCCAACAUGGUGAAACCCCGUCUCUA
rnacentral:SRP_RNA from 2 species